GCGUACGGGUGCGGAACACGUGUGCAACUGCCUUUAUCUGGGGGAUAGCCUUUCGAAAGGAAGAUAUACCCCAUAAUAUGUUGGAUGGCAUCAUUCGACAUUGAAAACUCCGGUGGAUAGAGAUGGGCACGCGCAAGAUUAGAUAGUUGGUGAGGUAACGGNUCACCAAGUCUACGAUCUUUAGGGGGGCCUUGAAAAAAAAAAAGGGGUUGAUUCCCCCACACUGGGUACUGGAGGCACGGACCAGAACUCCUACGGGAAGGCAGCAGUGAAGGAUUUUUGGGACAAUGGGUUGAGAAGCCCCUUUGAUCCAGCCAAUCCCGCGUUGAAAGGACGACUGCCCUAUGGGUUUGUAAACUUCUUUGGUAUAGGGAUUAAACCUACCCUUCGUUGGGGGUUAGCUGAAGGUACUUAUACGAAUUAAGCACCGGGCUUAACUUCCGUUGCCAAGCAAGCCGCGGUAAUACGGAGGGUGCAAGCGGUUAUCCGGAUUUAUGGGGUUUAAAGGGUCCGUAGGCGGAUCUGUAAGUCAGUGGUGAAAUCUCACAGUUUAACUGUGAAAACUGCCAUUGAUACUGCAGGUCUUGAGUGUGGUUGAAG
rnacentral:rRNA from 1 species